UCCGCUAUCGGUUGGCCCCAGGCAGUCCAUGACCGGCGCUGAUUUGAUCCUGUCACAGUUUGCAUUCGAAGCCAUUGCCAAUCCGUCCAUGGUUUCGAUCAGCGUGGAGUUUAAAAGGGUCUGAUUUUUGGUUAUGGCACAAGGCUCAAGACAGGGAGGCGAAAGCAAAUCGAGUUGUAAUAGUGAUACAUAUAAAUUUAGACACAGUUUAUUCGGAAUGCUGGUUGGUCUUGUUGCUCUUUUGUUUUUCAAAUGUUUGCUGUUUUCGAAUUUAAGAGGAUGGACUCAGCCAGUGUGAGGGCUGAGAGGAAAGAUCGGAGGUUACAUUGGUCGCGGUUGAUCUUUGCUAAGAUAGAUGUUACUCUGUCGCUGGUUUGAAGUUUUGGGAAGAAUUAUAGCACUGCCCCAAAUUUGUACUCAUGUGGUAUUUUUCUCACUGUUUCUAUUCCGUCGGUGGUACCGUUGCAAAUUUUACGUGGCAGCUGAGUGGGAGAAAGAAUGCAAGCGGUGCUAACAUGGAGAUCUGCUACUAUAGAUGUGGACUCCAUUGAAUUGUUCAGAGCCGGGAAGUUGCUGUGUGUUCUUUGGUGGCUGUGCUCUGCGUUUUCGACUGGUCUAGGACUCUAUCUGGACUUAAACUCAAUCAAUCUGAAACUGCUCUAUUUACA